GACAGAGGGUGCAAGCGUUGUUCGGAAUUACUGGGCGUAAAGCGCGUGUAGGCUGCUUCGCAAGUCGGAUGUGAAAGCCCUGGGCUCAACCCAGGAAGUGCAUUCGAAACUGCAGAGCUGGAGUCCUGGAGAGGAAGGCGGAAUUCUCGGUGUAGAGGUGAAAUUCGUAGAUAUCGAGAGGAACACCGGUGGCGAAGGCGGCUCUCUGGGACGGUACUGACGCUGAGACGCGAAAGCGUGGGGAGCGAACAGG
rnacentral:rRNA from 1 species